rnacentral:rRNA from 1 species
AACGAACGCUGGCGGCAGGCUUAACACAUGCAAGUCGAACGCCCCGCAAGGGGAGUGGCAGACGGGUGAGUAACACGUGGGAACGUGCCCUAAGGUUCGGAAUAUUCCCGGGAAACUGGGAGCAAUACCGAAUGUGACCGCAAGGUGAAAGAUUUAUCGCCUUAGGAUCGGCCCGCGUCGGAUUAGCUAGUUGGUGGGGUAAUGGCCUACCAAGGCGACGAUCCGUAGCUGGUCUGAGAGGACGACCAGCCACACUGGGACUGAGACACGGCCCAGACUCCUGCGGGAGGCAGCAGUGGGGAAUUUUGGACAAUGGGCGCAAGCCUGAUCCAGCCAUGCCGCGUGAGUGAUGAAGGCCUUAGGGUUGUAAAACUCUUUCGCCGAGGACGAUAAUGACGGUACUCGGAGAAGAAGCUCCGGCUAACUUCGUGCCAGCCGCCGCGGUAACAC